rnacentral:rRNA from 1 species
UACGUAGGGUGCGAGCGUUAAUCGGAAUUACUGGGCGUAAAGCGUGCGCAGGCGGUUAUUUAAGUCAGGUGUGAAAGCCCUGGGCUUAACCUAGGAAUUGCGCUUGAGACUGGAUAGCUUGGAGUGCGGCAGAGGAGUGUGGAAUUCCUGGUGUAGCGGUGAAAUGCGCAGAUAUCAGGAGGAACACCAAUGGCGAAGGCAGCACUCUGGGACGUGACUGACGCUGAGACGCGAAAGCGUGGGGAGCAAACAGG